rnacentral:rRNA from 1 species
AACGAACGCUGGCGGCAUGCCUAACACAUGCAAGUCGAACGAGACCUUCGGGUCUAUUGUCGCACGGGUGCGUAACGCGUGGGAACCUGCCCUUAGGUUCGGAAUAACUCCCCGAAAGGGAUGCUAAUACCGGAUAAUGUCUUCGGACCAAAGAUUUAUGGCCUUUGGAGGGUCCCGCGUUGGAUUUGCUAGUUGGUAGGGUAAAAGCCUACCAAGGCGACGAUCCAUAGAUGGUCUGAGAGAAUGAUCAGCCACACUGGGACUGAGAAACGGCCCAGACUCCUACGGGAGGCAGCAGUGGGGAAUAGUGGAAAAUGGGCGAAAGCCUGAUCCAGCAAUGCCGCGUGAGUGAUGAAGGCCUUAGGGUUGUAAAGCUCUUUUACCCGGGAUGAUAAUGACAGUACCGGGAGAAUAAGCUCCGGCUAACUCCGUG